UCGACUGAUCGAGAAAAA
rnacentral:rRNA from 1 species